CUAGAUUUUUACGCGAACAAUUUAAUACCCCACUGACGUGUACAUGCAUUCUGCAUAAAACAACAAGGCAUGACUUUUUCGAAAUCACAAAAUAUAAAUUAUGUUCGAUAUACUGUUUAUAACUGUGUCGGUUAAUGGUCAACUAAGCGUGGAUUAUACAUGUAAAAAUGGCAAAGAUAUUUAGGUAAUUACUGGUUAUGACUUCUUGGUAUUAAUUUGAAAAAUGUUUGUCAAAAUUCGUCCCGUGCGAGUAUACUAUCGUCGGAUGUUUUCGCAAAAUGCCCGUUCAAAUUUCAGUUUUUAUAGCGAUAUGUUUGGAGUUUCGGCCCUGCUCAUUUCACCCGUAGUGGGCUCAUUAUUUAAGUCAUCUUUAUUGUCAUAAGUGCUGCUAGAUUGUGGAGAAAACACUGCAAAUUCUUGAGGAAACUUUAUAUCCUAAUGUUCACGAUUGAACCUCGCGUACGUCGGUUCAAAAAACAUCCAGAAUACCGCUUGAAAAAAAACAAGUUUACAUUAUCUUCUUUU